UUGGAGCUCAAAAAUAAUUUUUUGGAAGUUGAAGACAUCUACAAUCUUAAAGAGAGAGAAUUUAUAGAACAUUAUAAAAACAAAGAGAAUAGUUUAUUAUUUUUUAUUAAUAUAUUAGAAAAAUCUUAUAUAGAAGUAUAGUUACCAAAAGCAAAGCAAAGAGCUCUAUUGAGCUUCACCAUAUUAGUCACAAAUAAUCUAAUAAGCAAAGUAUUUCAAUACAAUAACCUUGCAGAUUUAUAGAACAUGUUUAGAAGAAUGUUUAAUUAGAAAACUAGUAAUAAAUCAUGUUAUUGAUCAAAAAAAUAAAUAAGGUAACAAUAAAAGAAGGUGGUCAUAUUAAUAUUUUUUUAAUUGAGGCAAUAGACAAGAAGAACUAGCUAAAGAUAUUU
rnacentral:lncRNA from 1 species